rnacentral:rRNA from 1 species
GACAGAGGGGGCAAGCGUUGCUCGGAAUCACUGGGCUUAAAGGGCGCGUAGGCGGACUGCCAAGUCCGGGGUGAAAUCUUUCGGCUUAACCGGAAAAGGGCCUUGGAAACUGGCGGUCUCGAGGGAGGUAGGGGCCUGUGGAACUUCGGGUGGAGCGGUGAAAUGCGUUGAUAUCCGAAGGAACGCCGGUGGCGAAAGCGACGGGCUGGAUCUCUUCUGACGCUGAGGCGCGAAAGCCAGGGGAGCAAACGGG